rnacentral:rRNA from 3 species
UCGGGAAUAUUGCGCAAUGGAGGAAACUCUGACGCAGUGACGCCGCGUAUAGGAAGAAGGUUUUCGGAUUGUAAACUAUUGUCGUUAGGGAAGAUAAAAGACUGUACCUAAGGAGGAAGCCCCGGCUAACUAUGUGCCAGCAGCCGCGGUAAUACAUAGGGGGCAAGCGUUAUCCGGAAUUAUUGGGUGUAAAGGGUGCGUAGACGGAAGAACAAGUUGGUUGUGAAAUCCCUCGGCUCAACUGAGGAACUGCAACCAAAACUAUUCUCCUUGAGUGUCGGAGAGGAAAGUGGAAUUCCUAGUGUAGCGGUGAAAUGCGUAGAUAUUAGGAGGAACACCAGUGGCGAAGGCGACUUUCUGGACGAUAACUGACGUUGAGGCACGAAAGUGUGGGGAGCAAACAGG